AUGUUUUUCAUUUAUCUUUCCCACAGUCGGCGCCAAAAUGUAGAACCUCAAAUCUACACUAAGUAUUUGAUAGUGAUCAGGGUUUGAUCUAGGGAAGACAAAUGAUGUAGGCAACGAUAUCUUUAGAAUACAACGAUGUUAAACAAUUUCCAGUAGGUAAAAAUGGACUUUAUUGAUGAAUAAGGUCGAAUACAAUAAGUUGAACUAGAUCGAGUGAUACAAAUGAGAUCCGUAAAGAAAGAAUCUAAGAUUAUGAGAACAAGGUCGAUGUAAGUGUGUAGCUCUCUCUCUAGGGUUUUCAACGUGUCCUUCUUCAUGUCCGUUCUCCUUCCUUUAUAGUAAGUCGACCUCGUGAUCUUCGUAACUGCUCCACGAUCUCCGGGACUGCUCCGCGAUCUCCGGGACCCCGGAGUCUUCGUUUUCGAGCUCGAUUGCUUGCUAUGGGCUUCAGUUCCUUACGGCCCAUAUCUUUGAUCGCAGCCCAUUAAUGUACUGACCGAAAUUGGGUCCAACAGAUAUGUAUUUUAAGUGAGUAGCAAAUGAUUUUGUCCAAUUAUAUGUAUAUUAUAUGAUUUUGAGCCAUGUGCAUCAGUAUAAAUAUUUUGAAUAUAAUUAGAGAAGUAAACUAUAAAUAUAGGGUCAACUAUUCAUAUGUUCGGUUAUCUACAAAUAUCUAUUCGGAUUCGAAUAUUACCCAUUCGGGUUCGGAUAUUCAAUCUCUUCUAAUUCAAUACAUGUUCGGGUAUUUUGCUACUUCGGUUCGAAUUUCGGAUCGGUUUUUUGGCUCGGAUUCGGAUUUGGGUUCAAAUAUCGGAUAAAAUGUCCACCUCUAGUUGGGGCUGAUUGGAGCCUUGGAGGAGUCGCCGGGUGACCAACAGGUAGACAUAGAAGGUGACAUUUUCUGCUUGCCAGUACCCUAUCUGUAAAGCUCAUUCGCUCAGUUGCACACUGGGGAUGAAAACGAGACAUGAGGUAUCAGAAACUAUUUGGAUAUUGAUUUUGCCGAAUUUAUACCCCGAUACAAAAAUUCAGUUUGGCUAAAUUUUUUCCGGGCAACAAUGUGGUCUUUCCACAGGUCAGAGGCUUGUAAGUGUAGAGAUUAUUGAUCUAGGAUUGCUUAAAUUUUAAGUCAUCUAUGGACCUAAACUAACCUUGAAGUAAAAAACACAAGUAAUUGAACGCGUUCUCGGCCUCUAACCGGUAUGUGUCAUUUGAGAACUUCUGCUCCCAACACCAAUAGAUCAAAGAAAUCACCCACAACCUUGUGAUGUUUAGUGUUUAGGCCUAAGCUAUUUUAUCUAUAGCGUUGUUGUCUAUGUUCUCCUUGUGCUUUCUUCAUAUCUUCUAAUGUCAUUGUUCUUGAGUUUCUUCUGUUGCAGGUUACAGCCGUUAAACCCAAAUCACCUCACAAGCAUGUAUAUUUAUAUCUUUCUCACGGAUUCUUCAUGAUGGGCUGGUAAUGGAGUUGGCUUGGCCCAUCUCAGCUAAGACCGUGGCCCAAACCCUUUUCAUAUGGACAUGCACAAAACCAACAAAUCUCCACCUGUUUGUUUGAGUCCAACACGGCCCAUUCUUCAAGGCCACAUCCCACCACGUCUCUUUGUCUUUCUCGGACCAAGAAGAGAUCAGUCUAGACUCUUCAUGUCUCUCUCUUAUCCAUGCGAAAUCUUAGCUCUCAAUCGGUUCUCUUUCUCCUUUCCGGUGAGCGGUGUCGCAACCACCGUCGACGUAACCAGUACUCACAUCCUUGCUGGUACGCUCUAAAUAAGGAUCACUCAGCAGGAUUGUAAUUGGAUAACGAUGAAUUGAAGGGUCGCACAAAAGUUGCAGAAGGCUGUUGAUAUUUCCGAACUCCGGUUGUUGCUUGAUAAGACGCACAAGUCUAACAAAAAAGAGGUUGUUAACUUGGACGUUACGCACCAAAAAACAAGAAAUGUUCUAAGCAAAGAACAGAGAUAUAAACUCAUUAAAAGGGGGAAAAUCGAUUAUGUUAUUCAUGUGCACAUGUGAUUAUAAUUUUAUAUUAGCAAUGGCCAAAGAAAGAUUUAAAGUUUCGUGGAAAACUAGAAACUUAGAAAACACAAACAAAGAUUAAGACUUUUGACCAUAAAUAAGUGUGUUGUUGAAUGUCCAUUUGUUUGACCAUGUUUCUGACUUCUUUUGUUGAUAUUUCUUGAUGCAAAUGGGCAAGAGACCAUCAGCAAAGGAAUGGUCGAAU